AGGCGGAGGUUACAGUGAGCCAAGAUUGCACCAUUGCACUCCAGCCUGGGCAACAAGAGUGAAACUCCAUCUCCCCCCCCACCCCGCAAAAAAAGACAACAGAGGCGUUCAAUCAGUCGGCCGCGUGCAGCAGGGAAUCCAGGCCUCCUGCCAGCUACAGCACCAGCUGGGCAGCACCGUGCAUGAGCCGUCUUGGAAGUGGAUCUUCCAGUCCCAGUCGUGCUGGCGCCUUUGGCUGACUGGGCCUUAGCCAACCUCUGCGGGAUCCUGAAGCCGAACCACUGAGGAAGCCAACCAAUUGCAGAGGAAUAUUCUUCAGCUUCUACAAAGAAUCCGGCCUCUUAUUUUUCUUGAAACUUACAGCUGUCUUGGUGUGUCUUAUUUUUUUCCCCUCUUGAUAGAGAAGUGCUACAAAGAAAUGUUUUUGUACUUCAAUAAAAA
rnacentral:lncRNA from 1 species